rnacentral:rRNA from 1 species
GACGGUAGGGCGCGAGCGUUUGUCCGGAUUUAUUGGGCGUAAAGAGCUCGUAGGCGGCUUGUCGCGUCCGACUGGUGAAAACCCGCGGCUCAACCGCGGGCUUGCAGUCGAUACGGGCAGGCUAGAGUUUGGUAGGGGAGACUGGAAUUCCUGGUGUAGCGGUGAAAUGCGUAGAUAUCGAGAGGAACACCUGCGGCGAAGGCGGGUAGCUGGGCCGACACUGACGCUGGAUGCGCGAAAGCUAGGGGAGCGAACGGG